GACGAACGCUGGCGGCGUGGAUUAGGCAUGCAAGUCGAACGGUAUCAUCCUUUCGGGGGUGAGAGAGUGGCGAACUGGUGAGUAACACGUAGGUUAUCUACCCUCAAGACGGGGACAACCCAGGGAAACUUGGGCUAAUACCGGAUGUGAGCAACUUUUAGUUGUUUGAAAGGUGGCGUAAGCUGUCGCUUGGGGAUGAGCCUGCGUCCUAUUAGUUAGUUGGUGAGGUAACGGCUCACCUAGGCAAUGAUAGGUAGGCGGCCUUAACGGGUGGUCGCCCACACUGGGAUUGAGAUACGGCCCAGACUCCUACGGGAGGCAGCAGUCGAGAAUAGUCUACAAUGGUCGGAAGACUGAUAGUGCGACGCCGCGUGAACGAUGAAUCCCUUCGGGGUGUAAAGUUCUUUUAUAUGUGAGCAGUGCUUCUUAUAUUAACAGUAUGGGGAGAGAGAUAUUAGCAUAUGAAUAAGCAACGGCUAACUCCGUGCCAGCAGCCGCGGUAAACUAGUUACG
rnacentral:rRNA from 1 species